AACGAACGCUGGCGGCAGGCUUAACACAUGCAAGUCGAACGCAUCGCAAGAUGAGUGGCAGACGGGUGAGUAACGCGUGGGAACAUACCCUUUUCUACGGAAUAGCUCUGGGAAACUGGAAUUAAUACCGUAUACGCCCUACGGGGGAAAGAUUUAUCGGGGAAGGAUUGGCCCGUGUUGGAUUAGCUAGUUGGUGGGGUAAAGGCCUACCAAGGCGACGAUCCAUAGCUGGUCUGAGAGGAUGAUCAGCCACAUUGGGACUGAGACACGGCCCGAACUCCUACGGGAGGCAGCAGUGGGGAAUAUUGGACAAUGGGCGCAAGCCUGAUCCAGCCAUGCCGCGUGAGUGAUGAAGGCCUUAGGGUUGUAAAGCUCUUUCACCGAUGAAGAUAAUGACGGCAGUCGGAGAAGAAGCCCCGGCUAACUUCGUGCCAGCCGCCGCCGUAAAAC
rnacentral:rRNA from 1 species